rnacentral:rRNA from 1 species
AGAGUUUGAUCCUGGCUCAGGAUGAACGCUGGCGGCGUGCUUAACACAUGCAAGUCGAACGAAGCAGUCUUGAUGAAGCCUUCGGGCGGAAUUAGGAUUGACUGAGUGGCGGACGGGUGAGUAACGCGUGGGUAAUCUGCCUCACACAGGGGGAUAACAGUUAGAAAUGACUGCUAAUACCGCAUAAGCGCACGAGAGGGCAUCCUCAAGUGUGAAAAGCCGAGACGGUGUGAGAUGAGCCCGCGUCUGAUUAGGUAGUUGGUGAGGUAACGGCCCACCAAGCCGACGAUCAGUAGCCGACCUGAGAGGGUGAUCGGCCACAUUGGGACUGAGAUACGGCCCAGACUCCUACGGGAGGCAGCAGUGGGGAAUAUUGCACAAUGGGGGAAACCCUGAUGCAGCGACGCCGCGUGAGCGAAGAAGUAUUUCGGUAUGUAAAGCUCUAUCAGCAGGGAAGAAAUUGACGGUACCUGACUAAGAAGCACCGG